GACCAAGGAGUCCGACUCGUGCGCGAGUCGAAGGGUCUUGACCAGGCCCGGAGGCGUAGCGAAAGCGAACCCGGGACUCCGCCCUCACAGCCGGGGCGGAAGCACCGGGGACCCGGCGAGAUCGCGGUCGGGCCCUACGUCCGCGAGCGGUGGGCGUGCUUCCGGUGGUUUCGGCCGCCGGUCGUGCGUAUUCCUCCGGCGCGUGCAGACGAGAGGCCCGGCCCGUCGGAGUCAGGAGCGCACGGGUCGGUACCCGAAAGAUGGUGAACUAUGCGUCGCCCGGUCGAAGGCGCGGGAAACGGUGCCGGAGGACCCUAGGGGUUCUGACGUGCAAAUCGAUCCCGCGAGUGGCGUAUAGGGGCGAAAGACUAAUCGAACCAUCUAGUAGCUGGUUCCCUCCGAAGUUUCCCGUAGGAUAGCCGGUGCUCGGGAAUGAAAGCAGUCGCUCCUCGUAGAGCGAAUGAAUAGAGGCCCCGGGGGCCUCGGACGCCCUCGACCUAUUAUCAAACUGCAACGAGGUGCGUCUGGAGGUCGGGACUUCGGGAGUGAUCGAGUCCCGGCCCGAAGGGCGGAGCCGCCACCUUCCGGGUGCUGCGGUGUAAACUCCGUGCCGAAGGAUGCAGAGUGCCGAGUGGGCCACUUUUG
rnacentral:rRNA from 1 species